UACAAGAAAGCUGACUACGGAAAAGAUUAAUCAUCUCGUUUAUUAUACAAUUAAAUUGUUAGGUGGCCCAUGUCAUCUACAAUAACAGUAAGGAAGUUUUGGGCUGUCAUUUUGUAUUUUAUAUCCGUGAACGGAAAUGAGGGACACGUCAGUAACAUUUGCCGAAGAUGAACUGCAAUUUGGAAACAGGAUGCUUGUUUUCACACCUUCCAAAGCGGAAACAUCGUUUUCCCAGCUAUAAGAUAUCGAUCAACAGAGCCAUGCAUGUUGUAAGAGUCUUAAUGUAUUGUCUUAAAUAAAAA